GAGACCCAACACAUUUUCCCUCCACUAGCACUCUCCUCCGCCUGCCAGAACUUGCCCUCAUCCUCAACAGUUGAGAAGAUAUUUUUUUAUCAUCCAAAGGGUGGUUGGAAUAUGGGGGCAUAGAAUCUUAGACCAUAUAAGACAUAAUUGGACAGCAACCUGAAUAACUAAUUCAUGAAAGGCUAUCAACCAAGUGCUGUUAAAUGGGAUUAGAA